rnacentral:ribozyme from 1 species
AAAAGAAAAAGAAAAAGAAAAAGAUGAAGGUUCUCCCUCUUCUUCUGCUUUUUCGUCUUCACCUCUUCUCCCUUCCCAAAACCCUAAAGUAUUGUCUCCAAGAAAAAUGAGAAGGAUUAACGAACGAGCUGCCUCCCACCAAAACUUAACCACUGUCCAAAAAGAAAAGAAAAAGAGAAGAAAAC